rnacentral:rRNA from 1 species
UGCAGUCGAACGGGAUUACUUUUGUAGCAAUACAGAAGUAAUUUAGUGGCGCCNCUUNGUGCGAUAACACGUGGGCAAUCUGCCGAGAAGUGGGGGAUAGCUCGCCGAAAGGCGAAUUAAUACCGCAUAUGAUCAGCUAAGACAUCUUAGCGAAAUCAAAGCCGGGGCAACCUGGCGCUUUUUGAGGAGCCCGCGGCCUAUCAGCUAGUUGGUGAGGUAACGGCUCACCAAGGCUAUGACGGGUAGCUGGUCUGAGAGGACGACCAGUCACACUGGAACUGAGACACGGUCCAGACACCUACGGGUGGCAGCAGUCGAGAAUUUUUCUCAAUGGGGGCAACCCUGAAGGAGCGACGCCGCGUGGAGGAUGAAGGCUUUCGGGUUGUAAACUCCUGUCAUUUGAGAACAAGUGUAGCUAAGUAACUACUGGCUACUUGAUAGUACCAGAAGAGGAAGAGACGGCUAACUCUGUGCCAGCAGCCGCGGUAGUACAGAGGUCUCAAGCGUUGUUCGGAUUCAUUGGGCGUAAAGGGUGCGUAGGUGGCGCCAUAAGUCGGGUGUGAAAUUUCGGAGCUUAACUCCGAAACUGCAUUCGAUACUGUGGUGCUUGANGACUGGANANGAGACUGGAAUUUCNCGGUGUANCAGUGAAAUGCGUUAGAGAUCGUGAAGGAAGACCAGUGGCCGAAGGCGGGUCUUNUGGACAGUUC